rnacentral:rRNA from 1 species
UCCUUCAGCGUUUAGACUUGCCAAUGUUGUUUCCUUUUGGAAACUAGAUAAUCUUGGAUGGGAGACCACCUGGGAAUACCAAGUGCUGUAGGCU